GGGCCCGCACAAGCGGUGGAGUAUGUGGUUUAAUUCGAUGCAACGCGAAGAACCUUACCAGGGUUUGACAUCCUGCGAAUCUCUUGGAAACGAGAGAGUGCCUUCGGGAGCGCAGUGACAGGUGGUGCAUGGCUGUCGUCAGCUCGUGUCGUGAGAUGUUGGGUUAAGUCCCGCAACGAGCGCAACCCACGUCUUUAGUUGCCAGCAUUUAGUUGGGCACUCUAGAGAGACCGCCGGUGAUAAACCGGAGGAAGGUGUGGAUGACGUCAAGUCAUCAUGCCCCUUACAUCCUGGGCUACACACGUACUACAAUGCUACGGACAAAGAGCAGCAAGUUCGCGAGGACAAGCAAAUCUCAAAAAGCUGUCUCAGUUCGGAUUGUUGUCUGCAACUCGACAACAUGAAGUCGGAAUCGCUAGUAAUCGCGUAUC
rnacentral:rRNA from 1 species